rnacentral:lncRNA from 1 species
ACUUGCAGAAAACCCGGUGGAAUCAGGUACAAGAGAUGUCGGAAAAUCACCCUAACAUCACGUUGAAAGAAUCAACACAAAAUAACUCCGAUUUCACCAAAAAUCAAAGAAAAACUUCAAAAUCUUCACCAUUAAAAAAAACAGAAAUCAGCACCAAAAACGCCAUGAACUCAGACCAAAAGAUCGGGGAAGAUAGAGAGUAUGUCCAGGAGAAAUAUCCAGGCUCUGAUACCAUGAAAACAUGGUGAAUCGAAGUUAAAUCAAAGCUGGGAAGAGGUAAAAUAGAGAGAGAAAGUAGAGAGAGAAGAGAGAGAAAUGUUCUCUGUAUUGAAAAU